rnacentral:lncRNA from 1 species
CCGAAGAUGAAAAGGAAGAAGGGAGAAGGUCCAUGUGUGCACCCCUCACUCUUAAACCUUCCCUGGUCACCCUGACCUCGAAGGCAUGGUCCGGCAUCCCUGUAACCAGCCCCUAGCAGGUGUGGUUAUGGUGUCCCCUACAGUAACUCCAGGAACCUCCACACUGAUUUCCAUGGUGACGACACCACCCGAACUUGCACCAACAAUCUGGCUGUAGAACCUACAAGCUCCUUCUCCAGCACCAUGUCUGCCUGCAUGCUACCAUGCUUCCUGCCAUCAUGACUAAAUGGACUAAACCUCUUACCUG